AUCUUUAUUAAGUAAUUCUGUAAAAUUUUACAUUCAUAUCAAUACCUUUUUUUUUUAAACUCUAUAGAUCAACACAUAAAAGGGAUAUCCAAGAGAGUCAAAAUAGUUAAAACAACAGCUAUUUAUAUAGUUCAUGAUUCUGAUUAAGUUAACAAUAUGGACUGGACUCAACUGGGUGAUUUCCUAUGGGUCUCUUCUAGACUCACUAGUUGAGAUAAACUCUUUUGACAAGGAAGGUAGCUAACUGUUCACUGGAGUUGUCAGGGAGACUGGGCCAUAUGUCUCCAGCAGGCCAGCUUGUGCUCCUUCACACAGUAUUGGGGUUCCCAAGAGCGGCAAGAGAGGGCAAGUUACAAUGCACAAGCAAUUUUCAAGUCUCUGCUUAUUUUAUGUUUGCUACUGUUUCAUUAGACAAAGUGAAUUACAGAGCCAAGACAGAGUCACUAUGGAAGGGUAUCGCCAAAGGGCUUGGAUGAGGAGAAGGGAAGAAUUUGCAAUCACUUUGGAUGGAUUUGGGGGAAACUGACUUAUGUACUCCUAUGUUGCUGUAAUUUUAAAAGUAUUAAUUCAUUUAUAAUUACAACUGAUAUUAAAACAAGUUGUGGAUAGAUUAAACAGCAAAUGUUUUUACUCUCUUAUGUUGCCAAAUCUGUCAGUUUAACUCACUUCUGUGACAUUAAAUACUUUAUUUUUAAAUACAUAAACUUACUUAUUCUAAACAUUUCACUAUCAGUUCAUAUGUUUUGGUUCAUGGGUUGAGAAAUCAUUAGACAUUUGUAGACAUUUGGCUCAGAUGACGCUAUAUAACAUUGAAUUAUGUGGUUCUCAAUCUCUCAAGUACAAAAAAUAUAUAAUAUCAUCUAUAAGUCCUCAAGGAGUAUAUUGCAACUGUUACCAGAACCCCCAAUUUUUCUUUUAAAUAUUUUAAACGAUUCAUUAUACUGACCUUAGCAAAUAGGUGAUGUUAUAGAUAUAUCUAAGUAAAUAUCUAAAAUAGUGGGUCUACCUUUAUUGAAAUGAUUAAUCUAUGUUCUAAAUAUUUUGGAGUCCACCUUCCUUGGAAUUAUUUCCAAAAUUCUGAAGCCAUGUACUUGGAAAACAAAAACAGAAAAUGUUUCUUUUUCAUAGAGCCAUAGACUACCUAUUUGUUUUUCUUUGCUUUUUUACCCCCUUCUCCUACUUUUCUGAGUGCAUUCAGUGCCGUCCUUCUGUCUCUGAAGCCAUUGUCAAAGGAUCCUCAAGAAAUAGCCUGGUGGAAAUGGACUCUGGAGCUAGACUGAAGUCUGGCAAGCCUUAGAAUGUAGUCCUAAUCCAUGGUGCUGCUGAUGCAAAGGCAUCUAGCGCUACCAAUAUCAGAGCCAGUUGAAGAAACCCAAUCUUUGAGGAUGCCUGGAAGCUCUUUAGUCUUUCAGAAGCUAAAGGAAGUAAAACUCUGCUAAGAAGAUUAUCUGCUUUCAAGAAAGGGUUACAAGAAUCAAGGUUUGUUACAAGCCUGUCCUCACCCUAUGUGCAAUGCUGAGAAGGCUUCUGGGCAUCCAGCCGUGGCUGGCACCAUCCCUCUAGCAGCGUUUGAAUACAAAUCUCCUCGUGCCUGCAAAGUUCAGCCUGGAGCAGGGUGUGCACGUGCUCCAGCUGCACACAGACUCUCCACACUUGUCAGGAACAGCUGUGAAAUCUGCCCUGGGUCUCCUCUUCAGAAGCUGAAAGAGGAAGAAAUCUCAGAUGUUGUGACCUCCAUGGAGCAAAAGGAGAAAUUGAAUCCAAGAAAAGUGAUCACUUAGCCUAAAAUCAAAUAGCUAUUUAGCAGCAGACCUGAAACCAAUAUCCAGUUGUGCUGACUCUCAACCCUGUGACUUUUCCAUUACUAUCACGUGGCAAUCUCACUUGUUUCCCUGGAUUACCUUCAACGUUUUCUUCUUCUUGACCUAUUGUACUUUUCAUUCUUUUAUGCAUGAAAGGUGACCUACUUAUAUCAAAAUUUAAUAAUAUCUUAUUUUUGUUGGUUCUUUCAAAAAUCAUCUGAAAACUUUUUUUUCUUUUUUCUUUUUUUUUUUUUUUUUUUUUUUUUUGCCAGCAAGCUGCUCUUUAGGUUUCCUGUUUCACAUACUGAAAAAUUAAGCAUAAGUAUAAAUGGUAAUUAGAGCUCUUUUCCUUGUAAUGCAAUGAUUUAUACUUGAAUUGUUUCCUAUCAGUUUUACCACAAGUUGGAAUCUUCUAAGCAAAUACUCCCUUAUGUAUAUUCUCUCCCAGUGGAGAGGCACUUAAUGAAGUCUCUGUCAAAAAUCUGGGAAGAAAUUGUUUCUUAAACUUAAUGGCUGAUGCCAGACACUAACUAUAUCAGGUUUUCUAUUCUGUGGUGGGAAAAGGAAAAGAAAUAAAAUCAUUUCUGUCUAAAUAUAAUUUUGGCAGAAGGGAAAGAAUUAUACCUGGGUCAAGUUCCAACCCAGUGAUGUUUGCAUAAAUUGAGAUACUGUAUCUUCAAAAUUCAGUCCUUGGCAUGCUUAACACUCAGAGAUAUGCUAAUAGUUAAAACAGCAUUAUACAGAGUUGGAAUGAUAUCCCUUUGCAAAGUUGUGCAUUCUCAAAUGAUACUGAUUCUAUACUUAUUGCUUUUCCCACUCAACAUGUUUGGCUCCACAACUACUAAACGGCUACUUUGGUACUAAAGCACAAAAAGUCAUGUGCUC